rnacentral:rRNA from 1 species
AGCCUGAUCCAGCCAUGCCGCGUGUGUGAAGAAGGUCUUCGGAUUGUAAAGCACUUUAAGUCCGGAGGAAGGGCAGUAAGUUAAUACCUUGCUGUUUUGACGUUACCAACAGAAUAAGCACCGGCUAACUUCGUGCCAGCAGCCGCGGUAAUACGAAGGUUUCUAAGCGUUAAUCGGAAUUACUGGGCGUAAAGCGCGCGUAGGUGGUUCGUUAAGUUGGAUGUGAAAGCCCCGGGCUCAACCUGGGAACUGCAUCCAAAACUGGCGAGCUAGAGUAUGGCAGAGGGUGGUGGAAUUUCCUGUGUAGCGGUGAAAUGCGUAGAUAUAGGAAGGAACACCAGUGGCGAAGGCGACCACCUGGGCUAAUACUGACACUGAGGUGCGAAAGCGUGGGGAGCAAACAGGAUUAGAUUCCCUGGUAGUCCACGCCGUAAACGAUGUGGGCUAGCCGUUGGGAUCCUUGAGAUCUUAGUGGCGCAGCUAACGCAUUAAGUCGACCGCCUGGG